CUCCUCAGAAUUAGAAAACACAGCCCCUUCUCCUCCACUACGUGGCUUCUCUGGUUUACUACUUGGCAUUUUGCUUUCACUUUUGCUGCCCAUAGGAGAGCUAACUUUGUUCUGUCAAGACCACUUAGAAUAAGUCCGAGUCAAAUGAUGAUUAUUCAAAUCUGGGAACCGUAUCAAAUGGUUUUUGUAGGUCUCAAGUAGGACAGAUUAUACAGGAUGUUUAUAACAGAAGGCAGGAAUCCUGGUGCAAUUUUAAUAUUAUGCCCACCAUGGCAUGCAAACAGGCCAAGACAUUUAAGAAAUUUCACUUUUUUUCUAGUGUGCCCCCCCCCCCCCCCGUAUGUCUUACAUCACCCAUGCAAGGACAUAAUAACUAAUAUUUCUUUUUUGUGCUAAAUCCUUAAUGUAUUGUGCUUCAUUUAUUUUCUACAGUACUCCUGAGGGCUCUUGAAAUACUUCACAUAUUUUCAAGUAUAGAAACAAAGCUAAGAAAACUUAUGUAGCGUAAUAAAAUGAUGUUGGACCUAAAUUCCUAUGGUAGUUUUGCUCAACUAUAUUGUCUCCCAGUAUUAUUCUUGGUGUGUUAUUCAGUUUAAAUUUCUUGUAAAAUUAGUAUCCAUAUAACUUGUUAGAAACUUGUGAUUUAAUUUGCAAUUUUUAGAUUUGAUGACACGAUUUUUUAAAAAAUCAGCCUUUUAAAGAGACCCUGACCAUCUUUUAUACAGGAAAUUGCAUAGUUUCUUAAAUUUGCUUCAGACUCCUUUAGGAGGAGUAGGGGAGAGAUAGAUUAUCAGUUCAAGGCUUUUAGUGUUUUCAUUUUUUAGAGAGACACUCAAUAUAUAGAUUCAUCUGUCCUGAAACUCCUGAUUCUCCUGUCAUCGCCUCUCAAGUAGUAUGAGAAUAGGCUUGUGUGACCAUUUCUGGCACUUAAAAUGUUUUGUUUUCUACUGUAGAGAUUUGAACACAUUUUCCUGGCACAUGUUAUGCAACUUCUCUACUACCAAACCACACCCUACCCUGACAAUUUUCAAAUCAAGAAUAUUUGUUUCGUUUUUGUGGUUUUGUAUCAACAAUAAAACUAUUUUAUUCUUCACACAAACAUUUCUUUUAUUGGUUUUGUUAUCAUGGGUCAAAGGUAAUUUCUUGGUUUACUACAGUGAUUUCAAAUCCAUGUAGGAUUUUUUAUCUAGAAACCAUAAACGUGGAUUUUUCUCGCUUUGGAUGUGUUCUGUAGGAAUAGUUGAGUCUGUGUUUUUGGCAAAUCUAUGUUGUUAAGGUUGCUAUACCACCAUUGCUUGAAAGAAAUCUAUGAGCAUAACUAUCAAUGACUCCUUUUUUUUUUUUUUUUGUAGGUGAUAGAAAUUGAGGAUGCUUCACCUACUAAGUGUCCAAUAACAACCAAAUUGGUUUUAGAUGAAAAUGAAGAGACCAAAGAACCGUUAGUGCAGGUUCAUAGAAACAUGGUUAUAAAAUUGAAACCCCAUCAAGUAGAUGGUAAGAAGUUAUUAAAUGAUUCAAUCACUUGAGCUAAAUUUUACCUAUGUUUUGUCUUCUUUUUUGCCUAGCAUUUUGCCAAUCACUGGAGAUACAUUGUUGAACAAAAAUGAUAUGAUUCCAGCUGUUACAGAUCUUACAAGGAAGUAAGGAAGAACAAGUUGGGUGUCUGCAAGCGUAGUGUUUUAAGUAGGCAAGAGGUACUACUUACAGUGGGAAUCUGUAUAGCAGGUGGAGUUCUACUACAUAGUGCUUGGCUAGAGCACUUAGGUCUAAGCAUAGUUAACCAAAAGCUUUCUUUGGGAAGUGACAUUUCAACAUGUUCAAGUAAGUGUUUAAUUGGUUUUCCUACAUUAGUAUUACCAACUCAUUCAACUGCCCUACAUACUGGUGGAGUUUUACAUGUGUGUAUGAAGCGCUUCAGAAGGGAAAUAAACAGUUUCUGCAUCUAGGAUUAGCAGCCCCUCUUAUUGUUCUGUUUCUAUUCCUGGACACUUUCUGUUUUCCAAUAUUCCUCUGUCUUCGGCAGCCAUCCCAAGCUGGUGGGAAAUGUGAUAGUUUAGGGUAACUGGACAGACACUCUUAUCUUGCGUGCUUAUGUUUUAUUUCUGAUUUACUUAAGGAGAAGAAAACAAUUCUGAUUGCAUUUAAGAUUUUUUUUUAGCUCCAAGUGUUGUUCCUUGGGUGCUUGAGAGAUGGCUCAGUGGCUCAGAGUACUUACAGUAAAUCUUCAGAAACAAAAUGAAAGUCUGCUGUUUCUUGGAAGUUUUGGUUUCUCAUUCUUAGGUGUUCAGUUUAUGUGGGAUUGCUGCUGUGAGUCUGUGGAAAAGACAAAGAAGUCCCCAGGUUCAGGAUGUAUUCUUGCCCACUGCAUGGGCCUUGGUAAGACCCUCCAGGUAAGAGCUAUAGGAAAUAAACCUAUCCAUUUUUGCACAUAUAUUUAAUUCUGUUGUGUGUUAGGUAGGCUGUGGAGGGAGAUUCAGCAGUAAAAAAGAAGGACAAGAUUCUUAAGUAUUGAAUAUUGUGGUGGAGAAUGAAAUUUUAAAAUGUGCUUUCUGAUUCUGUGUUUAAAUGGGAGGACUGAGAGGGCCAUCAUUUUUAAAGAGGUGGUGAUGGUAUGUGUGCAUACAUAUAUGUCUAUAAUAACAAUGGGAUAAUGGCAAUGAAUUGGAAAGAGAGCAUGACAAGGUGUAUGUGGAAAUUCAAAGGGAGGAGAGGGAAGGAGGAAAUGAUACAAGUGUAUUAUAAUCUCAAAUAAAAGGGAAAAACCCACAAACAUUUCUGAUAGAAUUAUUUAAAAAAAGCAAUGUUUAUGCAAAGAUGCUGAUGUAGUUGAAGCAGUGUGGUUGCAGGUAUGGCUACCUUCCACUUCAAGGAUACAUGAAUUUAACUUAUUUUUCAACUUUUAUUAGUCUGAUGGUAAUGAGAAUGUAAAGUCUUCUUUAGUAUUAAAGCUGCUUCAUUUCUUGGACUGGGUUUAACAUUAUAUUUACGUUACUUGUAUUUUCUGUGUGUUGGAAAUUAUGAUCUUUAGUUGGCUGGCUUAGUGUUUAAUGUAAAAAUAAGUCAUGAUUCCUUAAUUUUAUUUUUAAAUUUUUUUGUGGAUAUUUAAAUGAACAUGUAACUUUACUUUCUUAUAGGUGGUUAGUUUUCUUCACACAGUUCUUCUGUGUGACAAAUUGGAUUUCAGUACAGCUUUAGUGGUUUGUCCUCUUAACACUGCUUUGAAUUGGAUGAAUGAAUUUGAGAAGUGGCAGGAGGGAUUAAAUGAUAAUGAAAAACUUGAGGUAUCUGAGUUAGCAACUGUGAAACGUCCUCAGGAGAGAAGUUAUAUGCUACAGAGAUGGCAAGAAGAUGGUGGUGUUAUGAUCAUAGGGUAUGAAAUGUACAGAAAUCUCGCUCAAGGAAGAAAUGUGAAAAGUCGGAAACUUAAAGACAUAUUUAAUAAAGCUUUAGUUGACCCAGGUAUGUUACUACUAGUUCUGACUUUACGAAGCUAGUUGAAAUUUUAUGUUUAUCUUUAAGAGUUUCUAAUUGAGCCAGGCAUUCUGGCUGGCACACACCUUUAAUCCGAGCACUGUGGAAGCAGAGGUGGGCCAAUAUCUGAGUUUGAUGCCAUCCUGGUCUACUGAACAAGGUUCAGGACAGCUAGAGCUACACAGAGAAACCCUGUGUUAAACAGACAAAAACAUUACAAAUAAUUGGACAUUUAUUAAGUACUUGCUAACAGUCUCCUUUGUCCUUGAGAUUUUAUUAUUCAUACUGAUAAUUUAAAUAAUAUAAAACUAUCCUUAAUGCUUCUAGCUGUUCCGAGUUUCAGUGUUUGGGGAUCUAUGGUUGAUGUAUUAUUAGAGAAUUGUAAACUCCUGAAUGGUAUCAAGCAUUUCAGCAGAUUUUUUUUUGUCACAAGAUUUCUUGGGGACACUUUCAAACAAUAGUCUUAAAAACCAGGCGCUGGACAGGCAGACAGCUACUCAGCUGCUUAAGCUUGCCCACAAGUACAGGCCAGAGACAAUGCAAGAGAAGAAGCAAAGGCUACUGGCCCGUGCUGAGAAGAAAGCUGCUGGCAAAGGUGACGUCCCAACUAAGAGGCCACCUGUCCUCCGAGCAGGAGUCAAUACAGUCACCACCUUGGUGGAGAACAAGAAGGCUCAGCUGGUGGUGAUUGCCCAUGACGUAGACCCCAUUGAGCUGGUGGUUUUCCUACCUGCCCUGUGCUGAAAGAUGGGGGUGCCCUACUGCAUCAUCAAGGGAAAGGCCAGGCUGGGGCACCUGGUCCACAGGAAGACAUGCACCACUGUUGCCUUCACACAGGUUAACUCGGAAGACAAGGGUGCUCUGGCUAAGCUGGUAGAAGCUAUUAGGACCAAUUAUAAUGACAGAUAUGACGAGAUCCGUCGCCACUGGGGAGGCAACGUCCUGGGUCCUAAGUCUGUGGCUCGCAUUGCCAACCUGGAAAAAGCAAAGGCUAAAGAACUCACCACUAAAUUGGGUUAAAUGUACACUAAGUUUUCUGUACCUAAAUAUAAUUACAAAAUUAAAAAAAACCAAAAAACAAAAAACGAGGCACAGGUUGGAGAGAUGGCUCAGAGGUUAAGAGCACUGACUGCUCUUCUAGAGGUCCUGAGUUCAAUUCCCAGCAACCACAUGGUGCCUCACAACCAUCUGUAAUGGGAUCUGAUGGCCUCUUCUGGUGUGUCUGAAGAUAGUUAUAGUGUACUCAUAUAAAUAAAAUAAGUAAUAAAA